rnacentral:tRNA from 1 species
AGCCCUGGUGGCGCAGUGGUUAAUGUCUGUACUGCAGCCACUCACUCAUAGACCACAAGGUUGCGGGUUCAAUACCAGCCAGGGCUG